rnacentral:tRNA from 1 species
GGGGAUAUAGCUCAGGGGCAGAGGUCUUGCCUAGCAUGCCUGAGGCCCUGGGUUCAAUCCUCAGCAUCCCUU